rnacentral:rRNA from 1 species
GUGCAGUUGUCGGAUGGGUCUAAUGUAUUUUGAUGGAACCUACAUGGGAAUGGACAAUUCUCAGUAAAGUCUAUGUAUAGGGCAUUAAUCCAGUCUGAUGUGCAUGUCGACAAUAACAAGAUGAUCUAGAAGAUGAAGAUACCUCUUAAGAAUAAAAUAUUUGCAUGGUAUCUUCAUCGCGGAGUCAUUCUUACUAAAGAUAACCUUAUUAAAAGGAAUUGGCAUGGAAGUCUGCAGUGUGUCUUUUGUCAUCAUGAUGAGACAAUAAAACAUUUAUUCUUCCAAUGCAAAUUGACUCGUUCUAUAUGGUCAGUCAUCCAAAUAGCUUCUGGCUUGUAUCCUUCUUGUAGUGUUGCUAAUGUAUUUGGCAACUGGUUACAUGGGAUUGAUCACACGUUUAGAACUCUUCUCAGGAUAGGAGCGCUUGCCGUCAUUUGGUCGCUUUGGCUAUAUAGAAAUGAUAAGGUUUUUUACGAUAAAAGUACUUCUCUCAUGCAGGUUAUUUACAAAUGUACUUGGACUCUUUAUUUAUGGUUCUCUCUACAACGUGUGAAGAAUCGAGACCUAUUUACGAAGGUGUGUACAUGA